AACAAACGCUGGCGGCGUGCCUAAUACAUGCAAGUCGAACGAGGAAAGCUUUCGGGUGAGUACUAGUGGCGCACGGGUGAGGAGUACAUGGGUAAUCUGCCCUCGAGUUGGGGAUAACCAGUCGAAAGAUUGGCUAAUACCGGAUAAGACCACAAGAUCUGCGGAUCAAGGGGUUAAAGGUUUUUCGCUUGAGGAUGAGCCCAUGUGGGAUUAGCUAGUUGGUGAGGUAAUGGCUCACCAAGGCGACGAUCCCUAACUGGUCUUAGAGGAUGAUCAGUCACACUGGAACUGAGACACGGUCCAGACUCCUACGGGAGGCAGCAGUAGGGAAUAUUGCACAAUGGGGGAAACCCUGAUGCAGCGACGCCGCGUGAGUGAUGAAGGCCUUCGGGUCGUAAAGCUCUGUCGUAUGGGACUAACACAAUGAAGGUACCAUGCAAGAAAGGAUCGGCUAACUUCGUGCCAGCCGCCGCGGUAAAAC
rnacentral:rRNA from 1 species